UAGGGAAUCUUCGGCAAUGGACGAAAGUCUGACCGAGCAACGCCGCGUGAGUGAAGAAGGUUUUCGGAUCGUAAAACUCUGUUGUUAGAGAAGAACAAGGACGUUAGUAACUGAACGUCCCCUGACGGUUUCUAACCAGAAAGCCACGGCUAACUACGUGCCAGCAGCCGCGGUAAUACGUAGGUGGCAAGCGUUGUCCGGAUUUAUUGGGCGUAAAGCGAGCGCAGGCGGUUUCUUAAGUCUGAUGUGAAAGCCUCCGGCUCAACCGGGGAGGGUCAUUGGAAACUGGGAGACUUGAGUGCAGAAGAGGAGAGUGGAAUUCCAUGUGUAGCGGUGAAAUGCGUAGAUAUAUGGAGGAACACCAGUGGCGAAGGCGGCUCUCUGAUCUGUAACUGACGCUGAGGCUCGAAAGCGUGGGGAGCAAACAGG
rnacentral:rRNA from 1 species